rnacentral:rRNA from 1 species
UACAGGGGGUGCAAACGUUGCUCGGAAUUAUAGGGCGUAAAGCGCGCGUAGGCGGCUACUUAAGUCGGAUGUGAAAGCCCCUGGCUCAACUGGGGAAGUGCACCCGAAACUGAGUGGCUUGAGUGCGAAAGAGGGUCGCGGAAUUCCCGGUGUAGAGGUGAAAUGCGCAGAUAUCAGGAAGAACACCCGUGGCGAAAGCGGCUCUCUGGAACGGUACUGACGCUGAGACGCGAAAGCGUGGGGAGCGAACAGG